rnacentral:tRNA from 1 species
CAGAAAAUAGUUUAAAAAAAUAUUAAUUUUGGAAAUUAAAGAUAAAGUCCCAACUUUUUUUCUGA